rnacentral:pre_miRNA from 1 species
GUACGUUUGUGUGUGAAUAGUGUUUCAGCACCAAGGACAGGUACGUUUGUGUGUGAAUGGUAUUCAGCACCAAGGACAGGUACGUUUGUGU